UACGUAGGGGGCUAGCGUUGUCCGGAAUCAUUGGGCGUAAAGAGCGUGUAGGCGGCUGGGUAGGUCCGUUGUGAAAACUCGAGCUCAACCUCGAGACGCCGAUGGAAACCCUCCAGCUAGAGUCCGGAAGAGGAGAGUGGAAUUCCUGGUGUAGCGGUGAAAUGCGCAGAUAUCAGGAAGAACACCCGUGGCUAAGGCGGCUCUCUAGUACGGUACUGACGCUGAGACGCGAAAGCGUGGGGAGCGAACAGG
rnacentral:rRNA from 1 species